UGGGGAAUAUUGGACAAUGGGGGAAACCCUGAUCCAGCCAUGCCGCGUGUGUGAAGAAGGUCUUAGGAUUGUAAAGCACUUUAAGUUGGGAGGAAGGGCAGUUAACUAAUACUUGACUGUUUUGACGUUACCGACAGAAUAAGCACCGGCUAACUUCGUGCCAGCAGCCGCGGUAAUACGAAGGGUGCAAGCGUUAAUCGGAAUUACUGGGCGUAAAGCGCGCGUAGGUGGUUCGUUAAGUUAGGAGUGAAAGCCCCGGGCUCAACCUGGGAAUUGCUUCUAAAACUGGCGAGCUAGAGUAUGGUAGAGGGUGGUGGAAUUUCCUGUGUAGCGGUGAAAUGCGUAGAUAUAGGAAGGAACAUCAGUGGCGAAGGCGACCACCUGGACUGAUACUGACACUGAGGUGCGAAAGCGUGGGGAGCAAACAGG
rnacentral:rRNA from 4 species